GAUGAACGCUGGCGGCGUGCCUAAUACAUGCCAGUCGAGCGAACAGAUGAGGAGCUUGCUCCUCUGACGUUAGCGGCGGACGGGUGAGUAACACGUGGAUAACCUACCUAUAAGACUGGGAUAACUUCGGGAAACCGGAGCUAAUACCGGAUAAUAUAUUGAACCGCAUGGUUCAAUAGUGAAAGACGGUUUUGCUGUCACUUAUAGAUGGAUCCGCGCCGCAUUAGCUAGUUGGUAAGGUAACGGCUUACCAAGGCAACGAUGCGUAGCCGACCUGAGAGGGUGAUCGGCCACACUGGAGCUGAGACACGGUCCAGACUCCUACGGGAGGCAGCAGUAGGGAAUCUUCCGCAAUGGGCGAAAGCCUGACGGAGCAACGCCGCGUGAGUGAUGAAGGUCUUCGGAUCGUAAAACUCUGUUAUUAGGGAAGAACAAAUGUGUAAGUAACUAUGCACGUCUUGACGGUACCUAAUCAGAAAGCCACGGCUAACUACGU
rnacentral:rRNA from 1 species